rnacentral:rRNA from 1 species
UAACUGAAGAGUUUGAUCAUGGCUCAGAUUGAACGCUGGCGGCAGGCUUAACACAUGCAAGUCGAGCGGGGGAAGGUAGCUUGCUACCGGACCUAGCGGCGGACGGGUGAGUAAUGCUUAGGAAUCUGCCUAUUAGUGGGGGACAACAUCUCGAAAGGGAUGCUAAUACCG